rnacentral:rRNA from 1 species
UACGGAGGGUGCGAGCGUUGUCCGGAAUCACUGGGCGUAAAGGGCGCGUAGGCGGCCUGAUAAGUAGGGGGUGAAAUCCUGCGGCUUAACCGCAGGGCUGCCUUCUAAACUGUCGGGCUAGAGCACGGUAGAGGCAGAUGGAAUUCCCGGUGUAGCGGUGGAAUGCGUAGAGAUCGGGAAGAACAUCAGUGGCGAAGGCGCUCUGCUAGGCCGUAACUGACACUGAGGGACGAAAGCUAGGGGAGCGAAUGGG